rnacentral:rRNA from 1 species
UACGAAGGGGGCUAGCGUUGCUCGGAAUCACUGGGCGUAAAGCGCACGUAGGCGGAUUGUUAAGUCAGGGGUGAAAUCCUGGAGCUCAACUCCAGAACUGCCUUUGAUACUGGCGAUCUUGAGUCCGGGAGAGGUGAGUGGAACUGCGAGUGUAGAGGUGAAAUUCGUAGAUAUUCGCAAGAACACCAGUGGCGAAGGCGGCUCACUGGCCCGGUACUGACGCUGUGGUGCGAAAGCGUGGGGAGCAAACAGG